UCGCUUGUCUUCCGGUGUGUCGGACAUAUAACCGCUGCCUUGACGCGGUUGGAAUACUGGUGUCCAUGAUGACAACUUGAAAAAUCCCCAACAUCAGUCAGAGCCGAGACUACCUGCUUGAUCCAGUUCGGUAAAAAUGAAAGCGGGCCCGGGUCCGUUCGGAAGCUACUUGGCGGGGCAACGUCCUCCGGCCGCCUGGCUAGCAUGAAGUGGGGCGGCCGCUGCUUUUGUUUACAUCCAGACCUGAUGAUGGGCCCGGAGAGGCGUGUUGGCUAACCCCGCUACCCGAGCUGCUUCCAGGGAAGGUGUCACCGGAGAACCCGCUCUGUUAGGACCGGGGAGUUCCGUCCAAACCUCCGCCGCCUGAAGGUGAUGGACGUAUCCUCCCAGGACCCACCUCUCAUGGCCAUGGACCUAUCGAAGAGCUACACCCCGCUGACCCGCAGCUGCACCGAAGCUGUGGACCUGGCCAAAAAGCCUGAGUGGUACCACCGACAGCCGGCGAACUGCAGCACAGAAUGCGCCUCCGCGUACAGAACCAGGCCCUCGUCCUCCUACAGUCCACUGUCCCAGCCGGGUGUCCCUGUCCGCUGCAGGGACAUGGAGCAGAGACCCGAGUCUUUAGGGAGCUACAUGAAUUCAACCCUGGCUCCAGGACUGGAUCUUUUUCACAGCAGAGUGCAUGACAACCUGUGGCACGGUGGUUACUACGGAACCGACCAAAGCAGGGGCCCAGUUCCUGAAAGCAGCGGUGCAGAGGAGAGCGACAGCGGCUCUGAUGUUAUCUUCCUGGUUUCCUCUGCGAAGGAGCCUCUUUUGUGUGGCUCUUUCAUCCAGGACAGCGUGAGGCACAUGGUGGAGCCGGUUUCCCCUGCCAUGUCCUCGUUGGACGAAGGAACAGGUUGCUAUCUUCUACCUCAGCCCAUGAGCUCACCGAGUGCCGACAGCUCGUACUCGGAAGACUCCUCGGACAGCUCUGUAGACAUUCCAGUACACCACACCAGGCCUGUGGUCCUCCUUUCUGACCUCAAUGGUGUUUACGGACACCCUGGUGAAUCCGUCGUGGGCGAUUCAAGUGACGAAAGCGACGUUAUUGAGGUGUCUGUCACUAACCGUGAGAAGGAAAGACACUGUUACAAGGAACAUCUGCGUAAAAAAAAGAGUGAGGGUGAAGAAGCGCCAUCUACAGAAGUGUGGUGCAGUGCCAGAGUUAGAAAAUCCGAGUCCGAAAUGCCUCGGUUAACCUGUGGUGUGUCACGGCACAGCUUGAGAAGACGAGUCAAAAACGACGCUGUGGGCAUUUAUAACGAAAGCAGUGACUCUGAGGAUUUGAUUGAGUAUGCUUUUAGGUUUUCCAGCUCGGAAGAAUCUGUCUCGCAGCCAAAUUUGCCACAAAAAGCGAGCAGCAAUUCAGAGGAAUCAAACGGGAACGUCCAAACUUGCGGGAAAUCUCCUCAGAAGGAAGCUCAAUUUGCGAAACUGAAUGACAAACGAAAAAACCCUCUCACUCUUACUAAAACGAAAAAGGUACGAAAAAUGAAGCAGAAGCCGGUCAGCAGAAUCCCACCGCCAGAGCAAGAGAAGGUUUAUCUCGGUAAGAGCACAGCAGUGAAAAAACAGGUUGCGAGACGAAAAAGAAAUAGGUGUCCUCAGACGGCACCUUCUGCUCUGUUUUCUCCCAGAGAACCUGAAAUCAUGCUCAAAUAUGCAAAAACUAAAGAUAAAAAGGAUAGAAAACCUGCCAUUUUCUGCCCAUUUGUUCACAUGGAGCAGCAGCUGUGCAGGGUGGUCAACUACAAGGAGGAGGAGGGGACAGUUUGCUGUAGCAAAGGAUGGCAGACGGUCUCCAAAUCUCUACCUGGGUUUGUUCCCUGCACAUCCUGCUUCCAGCUGGGUCGACCCAGCUUGGAUAGCAUCAGUCCGGACCAACUGUUGUGCUGCCUGUGUGGAUGGCCAGCUAACACCAUGGGCCUCGGGGAUCUUCAUGGCCCAUACUAUUCCUCGGUUUCUUCUAUAGACGGUCAGACGUGCAAAACUGAGCAGAACGAGGACUUGCAGAAACUCUCCAACGGCCAUUUGCUGCACUCCUCUGAGGACGACUGCACUCCUGAUAAAACGUUGCUCAGAAGCGACAAAAUCUCUUCCACAAAGGUGCCUCUUUGUCUAAACGAGACCUGGAUCCAUGAGGAUUGUGGCAUCUGGUCCGCCGGCGUCUUCCUUGUCCGGGGAAAGCUGUACGGAUUGGAGGAGGCUGCCCGAAUCGCACAGGAAACUAUUUGUUCAACCUGCCAUCAGACGGGUGCAAUAAUGGGUUGUUUCCAGAAGGGCUGCCUGAGGAAUUAUCACUACACAUGUGCCAUUCAGUCAGGCUGCAUCCUCAAUGAAGACAACUUUUCAAUGAGAUGUCUGGAGCAUAAGAACAAAAUCUUCCCACCUGCAGCCAGACAAGACAAGAGAUGACGCUGAAGACAUGCGGGGGCCAUGGAGGAUGGGGACGCACACAAACACUGAAGCACUGAGCCAGAACGCUCCACUGAUCUCCUCAGGGUGUGACGAGAGCUGUUCAGCUUCACCUCAACACUUUCCUAGUUCUAACAAACUCAAGCAGAGCUCGAGCAGCGGCCGGAGCUUUCAGUAAGGAUUCGCAGCUUCACUUGUCAUGACUGAAUCAGGGUCCACCUUAUUUAUUUAUUUUUAAAAUACUUUUUCCUUUCGUUUUGUUCCCUUUGUGUUCUUCGUUGAUGUUUAGCUCAGCUACUUACUUGGAUUAAACAGAUGUUUUUGUAUUUGUUCCUUUCUUGGAGAUCCUCACUUCAACUAGCUGCUAAAAACAACCGUUUAUUAUUUUAACAUAGGUAUUAUAUCAGAGUUUUAUUGACAGAACAUGUCUUAUAUAAGAGGCCACUUUUCUACAAGUUUUUGUACUACUUUUUUAUUCCUUUUAGUGCUUUAGUCGUAGUUAUAUUUCUCUUUGUUGCAUGCACACCUGAUAUUUGCUACAAUGCACUUUAUAUUCUAGUUUUCUAUCAGUUAUUUAGGUCUGUUCCGUCUUGUUCUACAAAAAUUAUUUACAUUUGAAAUAAAGCUGCACUAAGCUACAGUUAACCUGUAAAACUAUAUAUGGUUAUUGUUUAAAUGUGUUUUAACCUCCUGUCAUUAACUGGGACGUUCUGCAAAUUGCACCGAAUUGAUUUUCAUUUUUAAUGUUAAGUUUGGACACUUCUCUGUUUACUGGAUGUGGAAACCUGAUGGCAAAUAGCUCUUAGUGUUUAAUAAUUUAGUGUUUUUGGGGGGAAUUAGUAAACUGGAAGGGUCAACCACAACGUCCAACCAGUCAUUUAUUGUAAGGAGUCAUUUUUAAAAAGAGCUGUGGUGAUUUAAAAAAAAAAUCUUUUGUGCACCUAGCAGAAAGUGCUGAACUGGAAAUUGGAUACCAGCGUCUUAAAUUUGCAAAUUGGGGUGUUUUGGUUGUCUUCGCUAACUGAUUUAAACACCCUUACCCUUUGACCUCUAGACUAAACAGAAGUAGAUGGAAUUACAACUUAUGUUUUUUUCAUAAUUUAGAACUGUUUGUAGGGAUGGUAAUUAACAGUCUGUAGUGUUUAAAUAACUGGAAAGUGUCACUAAAGUACCUAAAUGCUAAAGAAAAUGUUUAAGUUUGUCAAUUUUCUUUUGACACUUUAUAAAGUGGGAAACUAUUCUCAGAUAAACACAUUUCAGCGAUGUUAAUAGACAGAAAUGAUUAUUUGGGAUACACAUAGUCAUCAGGAUUUUGAAAUAAAUCUGUUUAGAUUAUAAAAGCACCGAUCAGGCUUUUACUGGCCGAUACCGAUUUGAAGUUUUUGAGUUUUGACCUGCUUAAUCCGAGUUUCUUGCUUGGAGAUUAUCACCAAAUGAUUUGUGUAAACUGUGUUUCAUUCAACAAUUAAAUUUUCUCUAACUUCAUUGAGCUUGCUAUGUGUUGAUGCAUUUAUAGACUGAAAAACGUGGGACUUUUCAGGUUUGAUGAACAAGAAAAGGAUCUGAUUUUUCACUACCAGCGCUGCCGAUCACUAGUCAGACAUGAUCAAGCUCAAAUUUGGCCCGUUGGUUGUUGCAUCACUAUUUAAAAGGUCCUUCAGGUUUUCCAGUAAGGUUUUGUGGAAUACAUGGUAGUAGUCAAUACCUUACCUUCAGUGCACAGACGUCUCGGUUCAGAAAAAUUGCAGAAACGGUGAGAAAUUUUAAUAGAUAUGUUUCAUUUCUACGUCAUCAGACUGAGAGCCCACAUGGAUAUCAGUCUUAAAGGGAAAGUUCACAAUUUUAAUAUAUGGUUCUAAUAAAAGCUUACAUUAUUAGUCUACAAACCCAUUCAUUUAUUUAGAAUAUUAUUGAAAAGUUCAUUUAUUUCAAUAACUCAAAUCACAAAGUGAAGCGCAUUAUAGGUUAGGUUUUUUUAGCCUUUAUUGCUGUUAAUGAUGAUUUUUCUACUUACAGCUAAUUAAAACAAGAGAUUUAACAUCAGAAAAAUAAACAUUUAAUAAAGAAAUGUGGGCUUAAUGAAAAGUAAGUUUAAUACCUGCUUAAAGGUUAAUUUAAUCUAACAAACGAGCCUCAUCGGAACACAUAUUCUAAUGUACUAAAUACGUCUGUAUUACUUGCAUCCUGUGGAUAAUUAUCCACGUCUUCACGUAUAAAUCCAGACUAGUUGGUCCAGAGGCUGAAGCUAACUGUACUGUCAUCAUAGAAAUGUCAUCAGAGCAGUUUAUGCUUUAUCUCCAUUUCCCAUCUAAAUAACCCGCGGUUUCCGUUCUAAUAACUGCCCCCAACGUAUGACAUGACAAAAAUUUCAGGGUCCAGGUAAGAUAUUAACUGCUCAAAAUAUUUUCACUGAACCGCUCUAGAAAACCCAUGAAUCAUCAACCUACAGGUUUAAGCAGAUUUAAGCACUUCAACAUAAGGCUGUUUAAUUGGUCUCCUGAUCAAAGUCAAUCGUUCUGCACAAAAUAAAAUGUUCUGAAGGUUCUUUGAAAAUAAAGGAAGGAGUUUAGCCAGGGAGCCUUUCUGGCUGGAGGAUUGAAAAAAUGGCAACAGAAUGAGUCAUUUGAAGAACCUCAGCACAGAUGGUGUCAUGGAGUAGCAUGAAGAUUCAGAGGUGAAAACGGCAACAAACAAAAAUAUAUCAAGAACGGAGGUUUGCGAUCUGCUAAUGUAGCAUUGCCUCGCUGCUGAAUGAAAUGUUGGAGUCGUUCCAUGAGGUUGAAGUCUGCUCUACCAGAGACUCCGCUGAUUAAUCCUCCUGCCAAGGUAGUUCUCUGCCGUUCUCUACUGUGGGUAAGAUGCUGACUACUGAUCAUUAUCACACAAACCCUAAUUCCAAUAAAACUCCAAACAAUCCAUUUAAAUGCAAAUUAAACUUGAUGAUAAUAUACCUUUACAUUCCUGCUCGUAUAAAAAGCCGUUCCAUAACUAAUCAUUCUGACUAAAACAUUUUUAUAGAAACAUGAAAAAAAUAAGUUUCUAAUGUUGAUUUUAAAUGUUGUUUGAGUUGCUAAAAUAUCUAAACUGCCUCCCUGGAAACCGGUUGAUGGUGUUGCUAAGCAGCCACAGUAAUUAACAUCCUGUUGUUUUUGGACCCUUCAGCUCCCGCCUCACACUUUGCAAACGGCUGCUCUGAAAAAAAAAAAAAUAAAUAAAUCAGACGGCUCACUGUUUCCACCUCCUCAGGAUGAAGAGGUCUCCUCCUUCAUCCUCAGAGAAAAUAAAUGUCCUGCCAAACAAGGCAGCUGCAAAAUCUACUGUUGUGAUUUGGCUAAACUGACCUUUCUGUGUAUUUAAUAGAUCUUAGUGCAGCUUUAACUGUCCCAUAUUGUGAGUGUUUGUGUUUCAUUAUGUUGGAGUAAACUGUUUUUAUUUUAAGGGAUGUUUAAGGUAAAUGGUCUUAAAAUUUGGAUUAAUGCCUGCACUUUCUGUUAUUUGAGUAUAAAGAUAAACAUUAUUUAAUAAAAAGAAAUAAAGGUG